GUGUCAGCAGCCGCGGUAAUACGUAGGGUGCAAGCAUUAAUCGGAAUUAUUGGGCGUAUAGGGCGCGUAGGCGGAUCUAUAAGUCGGUUGUGAAAUCCUAGGGCUCAACCUUAGAAUAGCACCCGAAACUAUAGAACUAGAGGGUAGGCGGAGAAAACGGAAUUCCACAAGUAGCGGUGAAAUGCGUAGAUAUGUGGAAGAACAUCGGUGGCGAAGGCGGUUUUCUAGCUUAUUCCUGACGCUGAGGCGCGAAAGCAAGGGGAUCAAACAGGAUUAGAUACCCUGGUAGUCCUUGCCGUAAACUAUGUAUACUUGGUGUAACUGGACUCAACCCUAGUUGUGCCGAAGCUAACGCGUUAAGUAUACCGCCUGGGGAGUACACUCGCAAGGGUGAA
rnacentral:rRNA from 1 species